AUUGAACGCUGGCGGCAUGCUUUACACAUGCAAGUCGAACGGUAACAGGGAGCUUGCUCCGCUGACGAGUGGCGAACGGGUGAGUAAUGCGUCGGAACGUGCCGAGUAGUGGGGGAUGACGCAGCGAAAGUUGUGCUAAUACCGCAUACGUACUGAGGUAGAAAGUGGGGGACCUUCGGGCCUCACGCUAUUCGAGCGGCCGACGUCUGAUUAGCUAGUAGGUGAGGUAAAGGCUCACCUAGGCGACGAUCAGUAGCGGGUCUGAGAGGAUGAUCCGCCACACUGGGACUGAGACACGGCCCAGACUCCUACGGGAGGCAGCAGUGGGGAAUUUUGGACAAUGGGCGAAAGUCUGAUCCAGCCAUGCCGCGUGUCUGAAGAAGGCCUUCGGGUUGUAAAGGACUUUUGUCGGGGAGGAAAUCCCCAGCGCUAAUACCGCUGGGGGAUGACAGUACCUGAAGAAUAAGCACCGGCUAACUACGUGCCAGCCGCCGCAGUAACAC
rnacentral:rRNA from 1 species